rnacentral:lncRNA from 1 species
UUUGAUUGGUCGAGGAAUAUUCGUCUUAACAGGGAAUAUUCGUACGACGACACAAUCAUUGGUGGACCCCACAACGAAAUUAUUGUCGGAUUGAGAAAACGACAAAAAUAUUUUAUGAAAAUAAUGGCGGAAGUUUUAUCGUUAACUGUUGAAACACCCGGUGUUAAUAGUACAGGAAUACGCGUGGUUGCCUAGUAGCACACGGUAUUGCUUACGUGAGAAGUCACUCAGUUUUGUUUAAUUAUUGCUUCAGUAAUUGUUGCAUAGUAUCUCACGUUAAUUGAUUCAAUUAUUGUCGAUAUUUUAUAUAUUAUUAAAUCAAUAAUUGAGACGACGAAGUUAUUAAUAUUAUUAUUUGCAAUAUUAACGAUGUCUAGAAUUCUGCCAAGGAGAGGUUUGGUCACCUACUUGCGCGCCAAU